GAUGAACGCUAGCUACAGGCUUAACACAUGCAAGUCGAGGGGUAGCAGGGUAGCAAUACCGCUGACGACCGGCGCACGGGUGAGUAACACGUAUCCAACCUUCCCAUAACUCGGGGAUAGCCUUUCGAAAGAAAGAUUAAUACCCGAUAGUACUUUAUUAAGGCAUCUUAAGAAAGUUAGAGAUUUAAUGGUUAUGGAUGGGGAUGCGUUCCAUUAGAUAGUUGGUGAGGUAACGGCUCACCAAGUCUUCGAUGGAUAGGGGUUCUGAGAGGAAGGUCCCCCACAUUGGUACUGAGACACGGACCAAACUCCUACGGGAGGCAGCAGUGAGGAAUAUUGGUCAAUGGGCGAGAGCCUGAACCAGCCAAGUAGCGUGAAGGAUGAAGGUCCUAUGGAUUGUAAACCUCUUUUAUAGUAGAAUAAAGUGAACCACGUGUGGUUUUUUGUAUGUAUACUAUGAAUAAGGAUCGGCUAACUCCGUGCCAGCCGCCGCAGUAAAAC
rnacentral:rRNA from 1 species